rnacentral:lncRNA from 1 species
AACCUAAUUACUUCCCAAAGGCCUCAUUUCCAAAUAUCAUUACAUUAAUCAUGGAAAAAAGAUUAAAAAUAUGAGUUCUACCAGCCUGGACAACAUAAUGAAACUGUCUCUACAAAAAAUACAAAAAUUAGCCGGGCAUGGUGGUGUGUGCCUGUAGUCCCAGCUCCUUGGGAGGCUGAGCGGGGAAGAUCACCUGAGCCAGGGAGGUCAAGGCUGCAGUGAGCCAUGAUCAUGCCACUACACUUCGGCCUGGGCAACUGAGCAAGAUCUUGUCUCAAAAUAUAUGUAUCUCUCCUUUAAGGAUGAUGGACACUGUAGUGCUUGCCAACAACAUCGAAGGUUAAAGAAGAAGUUUCAAACUGAGUACACUUUUGGGUACUUUACCUGUAAUAGUUCUCUAAGCUCUUGACCAUCCUCC